rnacentral:rRNA from 1 species
UGUGAUUCAUGACUGGGGUGAAGUCGUAACAAGGUAACCGUAGGGGAACCUGCGGUUGGAUCACCUCCUUACC